rnacentral:rRNA from 1 species
CAGUCGCCGCGGGAAUACGGAGGGUGCAAGCGUUAAUCGGAAUUACUGGGCGUAAAGCGCACGCAGGCGGUCUGACAAGUCAGAUGUGAAAUCCCCGGGCUUAACCUGGGAACUGCAUUUGAAACUGUCAGGCUGGAGUCUUGUAGAGGGGGGUGGAAUUCCAGGUGUAGCGGUGAAAUGCGUAGAGAUCUGGAGGAAUACCGGUGGCGAAGGCGGCCCCCUGGACAAAGACUGACGCUCAGGUGCGAAAGCGUGGGGAGCAAACAGGAUUAGAUACCCCUGUAGUCCCUGUCUCUUAUAC